GAUCCUGGCUCGGGAUGAACGCUGGCGGCGUGCUUAACACAUGCAAGUCGAGCGAAGCACUUAAGUUUGAUUCUUCGGAUGAAGACUUUUGUGACUGAGCGGGCGAACGGGUGAAGGUAACGCGUGGGUAACCUGCCUCAUACAGGGGGAUAACAGUUAGAAAUGGCUGCUAAUACCGCAUAAGACCACAGUACUGCAUGGUACAGUGGUAAAAACUCCGGUGGUAUGAGAUGGACCCGCGU
rnacentral:rRNA from 1 species